rnacentral:rRNA from 1 species
GCCAACAACCAUACCACAUUAUUUAAUACACCAGUUCUCGUCCGAUCACUGAAGUUAAGCAACGUCGGGCGUAGUUAGUACUACUUGGAUGGGUGACCGCUUGGAAACACUAUUUGCCGUUGGUU